AUUGAACGCUGGCGGCAGGCCUAACACAUGCAAGUCGAGCGGAUGAAGGGAGCUUGCUCCUGGAUUCAGCGGCGGACGGGUGAGUAAUGCCUAGGAAUCUGCCUGGUAGUGGGGGAUAACGUCCGGAAACGGGCGCUAAUACCGCAUACGUCCUGAGGGAGAAAGUGGGGGAUCUUCGGACCUCACGCUAUCAGAUGAGCCUAGGUCGGAUUAGCUAGUUGGUGGGGUAAAGGCCUACCAAGGCGACGAUCCGUAACUGGUCUGAGAGGAUGAUCAGUCACACUGGAACUGAGACACGGUCCAGACUCCUACGGGAGGCAGCAGUGGGGAAUAUGGGACAAUGGGCGAAAGCCUGAUCCAGCCAUGCCGCGUGUGUGAAGAAGGUCUGCGGAUUGUAAAGCACUUUAAGUUGGGAGGAAGGGCAGUAAGUUAAUACCUGGCUGUUUUGACGUUACCAACAGAAUAAGCACCGGCUAACUUCGU
rnacentral:rRNA from 1 species